UACGUAGGGGGCAAGCGUUGUCCGGAUUUAUUGGGCGUAAAGAGCGUGUAGGCGGCCAUGCAGGUCAGCUGUGAAACUCGAGGCUCAACCUCGAGACGUCGGUUGAAACCGUAUGGCUAGAGUCCGGAAGAGGAGAGUGGAAUUCCCGGUGUAGCGGUGAAAUGCGCAGAUAUCGGGAAGAACACCUAUGGCGAAGGCAGCUCUCUGGGACGGUACUGACGCUGAGACGCGAAAGCGUGGGAGCGAACAGG
rnacentral:rRNA from 1 species